rnacentral:rRNA from 1 species
UCGAGAAUUUUUCACAAUGGGCGAAAGCCUGAUGGAGCGACGCCGCGUGGGGGAUGAAUGGCUUCGGCCCGUAAACCCCUGUCAUUCGCGAGCAAACGUUAUUAUUUAAAAGAUGAUAGCCUGAUAGUAGCGAAAGAGGAAGGGACGGCUAACUCUGUGCCAGCAGCCGCGGUAAUACAGAGGUCCCAAGCGUUGUUCGGAUUUACUGGGCGUAAAGGGUGCGUAGGUGGUGGGGGUAAGUCGGAUGUGAAAUCUCCGAGCUCAACUCGGAAAGUGCAUUGGAAACUACCCUGCUCGAGGGUUGGAGGGGGGACUGGAAUACUUGGUGUAGCAGUGAAAUGCGUAGAUAUCAAGUGGAACACCAGUGGCGUAGGCGAGUCCCUGGACAACUCCUGACACUGAGGCACGAAAGCUAGGGGAGCAAACAG